UACGUAGGGUGCAAGCGUUAAUCGGAAUUACUGGGCGUAAAGCGUGCGCAGGCGGUUCGGAAAGACAGAUGUGAAAUCCCAGGGCUUAACCUUGGAACUGCAUUUUUAACUACCGGGCUAGAGUGUGUCAGAGGGGGGUGGAAUUCCACGUGUAGCAGUGAAAUGCGUAGAUAUGUGGAGGAACACCGAUGGCGAAGGCAGCCCCCUGGGAUAACACUGACGCUCAUGCACGAAAGCGUGGGGAGCAAACAGG
rnacentral:rRNA from 1 species